CAAAUAAUAUAAUUUAAUUUUAUUAAUAAGAAUUAAUUGUUAUUUAUUAUUAAAUUUUAAGUUAAAAUUUAUUAAGUAAAAUUUUAAAUUUUAAUUAUAUUUAUUUUAUUAAAUGAAGUUUAAAAAUUUAAAUAAUAAACUAGGAUUAGAUACCCUAUUAUUUUAAAUGUAAAUUUUUAUAUUAAAUUAUUAAUAGUUAUUUUCUUUAAAAUUAAAAAUUUUGGCGGUAUUUUAGUCUUUUCAGAGGAACCUGUUUUGUAAAUGAUAAUCCACGAUUUAAUUUACUUUUGUUUUUAGUUUGUAUAUCAUCGUAAUUAAGUAUUUUUUAAGAAUUAUAAAUAUUUAAAGGUUUUUAUAAAAAAGUUAAUCAGAUCAUGGUGCAAUUUAUAUAUAAGUAUUAAUGGGUUACAAUAAAUAUAUUUUUGGAAAAUUUUUAUUAUUAAAAGUUAGAAUUUGGAUUUGAAAGUAAACUUAAUAAAUUAAUUAAGUUGAUUUUGGCUCUAAAAU
rnacentral:rRNA from 1 species